rnacentral:piRNA from 1 species
UGGAAAUUUGAAGGGACAAUGAUUUAGUGU